rnacentral:lncRNA from 1 species
UCCCAUCUUUGUUCCUUUGUUUUGCAUAUAAUUAAAGAGGGAAGCGUAAAGAAGGAAAGAUCAUCCUGUAAAACACCGCGAAAAUACUCUUCUCCCUUCCCCUUUUAUUUAUACUCUUGUUUCCAACCAAGUCCAGCUUAAGCAUAGCGAAGUUUGAUAAUGCAACAAGCUGCUAUCGUCAUGUUGGGAAAAAGACAUUUCGCAAAGAGGACGAAUCUAUUUUAAAAAAGCUGUGUCUAGUACAGGCUUUGACUUUGAUUGAUUCUGUAACUUUUACCCAUCACUGUUAUUGUAUUUCCAGUAUAUAGUUAGUCAAUUUCUUGUAUUUCUUGCCAUGGAUCAAUCUUCGCUGAUUGAUUUCCAGAAAUCAAGCCCCGAAUAGUUUGAAAUUCUCUCAUAGUUCUUUGUUCAAAGAAUCCAUAAAGAUUAUUUUUCCCUCUCUGCAAACACAAACGGACGACGAUGGCGAGCUACGGAAAUUGAUGGAUCAAUGGCUGGGAAUUUCUGUACGGAAGUUUCGUCGUAUAGUUUCAGGUAAGAGAAUCAAUAUCUUGAGGCCUCUGAACUCCUAGUCGUUCUGAAAUCAGCAAUGAACACUUCCUGCCUCUAUUCUAAUUCUCCAGGAAUUCUCUCCAACCUUGAUCCCACUCCGGUUACGAACCUCGAAGUUGAAGCUUUACCCGACGCUUCUUUCCGUUGAUGGUUUAUCCCACUAAUCUGCUAUCAACUCCCAGGUUGUUUAAAUCGGAUGGCGGCUCCGCUUAGUCGUCGACGACUAACCCGAUUCAAGUCUCCAAUGGAUUAUUCUAUUAUACCCAGAGGUAAGGGAACUCUUUCUACCAACCUUGCGAACCAGCUGAGGGAAUAAUAGUUUCUUAUCUCAUUAACUUACUUAGAAUGUAUGCAGACUCUAUAUUUAUACUACAGCUACUACAGAGAAGGUUACGACUGCAAUCUAACAAACUCCUAACUAACUGCGGCUGAGCUCUGUACACGUCAGCUCGUUGACUCCAAAAAACUAAUCAUGCUGACAUCAUGUCCAGUAACUACUUGACACCAGCUCCCCUUAGAUUUCAUGUGGAGGCUGUUUAAUUUGAAGUUGCAAUUCAUUUUCCAGCAAAAGAGUUUCCGCCAGUGCCGAUUCUCUUUUGCCGAACCGGAAUUUCUAGAGCGUUUCGAGGCCAUAAAAUUGUUUGGUUAUCGUUGUAAGAAGCUUAUGAAGAUUAUCAUUCCAUUAAAUUCAGUAUUGAUUGAUCUAGUGGGAUUUAGGACCAUUGCCGGUAGCUUGCUCGUACUCGCCGUAACCUCGCUGUAACUCCGGAAUUUUAGGAGAAAGAAAACUUCGAGAAUUUCUUUCUCGGUCCCUAAAGGUUUCAGUCAUUGCCUUAUGGUUACUAGACUUCCAGAAUAACUAGUUAGUGCCUCUUUUUCGAAUAAUUAUGUUACGAAUACAAAACUUUAAGGAUCAGACAUUUCAGUCACCAAUAGUUCAUUAUCA